AGAGUUUGAUCAUGGCUCAGGACGAACGCUGACGGCGUGCUUAACACAUGCAAGUCAAGGGGGCCCAGCAAUGGGCAACCGGCGAACGGGUGCGUAACACGUGAGCAACCUACCGAAUUGUGGGGGAUAGCCGGCCCAACGGCCGGGUAAUACCGCAUACGCUCGAGACGAGGCAUUUCGAUUCGAGGAAAUCUACGGAGCAAUUCGAGGGGCUCGCGGCCUAUCAGCUAGUUGGUGAGGUAACGGCUCACCAAGGCGACGACGGGUAGCUGGUCUGAGAGGAUGGCCAGCCACAUUGGGACUGAGAUACGGCCCAGACUCCUACGGGAGGCAGCAGUGGGGAAUCUUGCGCAAUGGCCUAACGGCUGACGCAGCGACGCCGCGUGAGGGAUGAAGCUCUUCGGAGUGUAAACCUCUUUUGCCCGGGACGAACUGCCAGAUUUAUCUGGCUUGACGGUACCGGGUGAAUAAGCACCGGCUAACUCCGUGCCAGCAGCCGCGGUAAUAC
rnacentral:rRNA from 1 species